rnacentral:rRNA from 1 species
AGCACCGGCUAACUACGUGCCAGCAGCCGCGGUAAUACGUAGGGUGCAAGCGUUAUCCGGAAUUAUUGGGCGUAAAGGGCUCGUAGGCGGUUCGUCGCGUCCGGUGUGAAAGUCCAUCGCUUAACGGUGGAUCUGCGCCGGGUACGGGCGGGCUGGAGUGCGGUAGGGGAGACUGGAAUUCCCGGUGUAACGGUGGAAUGUGUAGAUAUCGGGAAGAACACCAAUGGCGAAGGCAGGUCUCUGGGCCGUUACUGACGCUGAGGAGCGAAAGCGUGGGGAGCGAACAGGAUUAGAUACCCUGGUAGUCCACGCUGUAAACGUUGGGCACUAGGUGUGGGGGCCACCCGUGGUUUCUGCGCCGUAGCUAACGCUUUAAGUGCCCCGCCUGGGGAGUACGGCCGCAAGGCUAAAACUCAAAGGAAUUGACGGGGGCCCGCACAAGCGGCGGAGCAUGCGGAUUAAUUCGAUGCAACGCGAAGAACCUUACCUGGGCUUGACAUGUUCCCGACAGCCGUAGAGAUAUGGCCUCCCUUCGGGGCGGGUUCACAGGUGGUGCAUGGUCGUCGUCAGCUCGUGUCGUGAGAUGUUGGGUUAAGUCCCGCAACGAGCGCAACCCUCGCCCUGUGUUGCCAGCACGUCAUGGUGGGAACUCACGGGGGACCGCCGGGGUCAACUCGGAGGAAGGUGGGGAUGACGUCAGAUCAUCAUGCCCCUUACGUCCAGGGCUUCACGCAUGCUACAAUGGCCGGUACAACGGGAUGCGACACGGCGACGUGGAGCGGAUCCCUGAAAACCGGUCUCAGUUCGGAUUGGAGUCUGCAACCCGACUCCAUGAAGGCGGAGUCGCUAGUAAUCGCGGAUCAGCAACGCCGCGGUGAAUGCGUUCCCGGGCCUUGUACACACCGCCCGUCAAGUCAUGAAAGUGGGUAGCACCCGAAGCCGGUGGCCUAACCCUUUGUGGAUGGAGCCGUCUAAGGUGAGACUCGUGAUUGGGACUAAGUCGUAACAAGGUAGCCGUACCGGAAGGUGCGGCUG